GACGCCUGCAGUGAGCUGUGAACUGCAGCAGCUCAAACCUCCACUGGCUGCCCCAAAUUUAGGCCCUGGGCUAUGCAGAGACACUUAACCCUGGCGUGGAUGCUGCCUCUCCCUGUGUCCUCUGGUGGGGAGGGGACAAAGGUCCUUAGGACAGCAGGGACUGGAUGACCAGAGGCCAGGGAAGUCAGGAGGAAGAUUCCAGCAUCCAGGAUGUGGGCUACUGGCAUCUAGUGGGUAGAGGCCAGGGAUGCUGCUCAUCAUCCGGUAACCACCCCAGAGCAAAGAACGAUCUGCCGGAACGUCGGUAGUGCCAAGCCUGAGCUGAACACGCUGCAGAUCUUCUCAGUCGCACUAGAGCAGUAAUGACCACCAUUCCUGGGCUGGCAGGCACUGUGCUGGGUGUUUACACACCACUGAAGACACCUGAAAACCUAUGAGGUGCCAGCUCCAGACCCAGAUAAGCAAUAAAACCAACCUCAGGACCAGCUGCAUUGAAUGACCCCCUGCCCUGGUGCCGGCCAAUCAAUCCGUGGAGACCACAACCCUGAAAAGGACACACCUGGAACACUGCGGAACAGUCCAUUUAGAUCUUCCCCUGGGCCCUCCCCUAAAGUCUCCACUCAAAACACCCCUAGGGUGAGGACCCAGCUGCUCUCCCUCCUGGGAGCACGCCUGUGCCUUUCUCUCUUCCCCUCCCCCUCCCCCUCCCCCUGCCCCAUGCUUCCUCACUCCCACAGGGGCCCUUCCUUUACUCCUAUAACUUGUUUCCUAAGCCCAUUUCUUUAGGAAUUACUUGUACCUCUGUGAUUUACCCAAUAAAUGUUCUCUUAUAGUUUGGGUCUUGGCUCUGAAUUCUUUCCUAGUCAGAAC